rnacentral:rRNA from 1 species
GACGAACGCUGGCGGCGUGCCUAACACAUGCAAGUCGAGCGGGGAUUUAAGUGGAAGUUCUUCGGAAUGGAGAUUUAAAUUCUAGCGGCGGACGGGUGAGUAACGCGUGAACAAUCUGUCCCGGACAGGGGGAUAACACUUGGAAACAGGUGCUAAUACCGCAUAAGACCACGGCCUCGCAUGGGGCUGAGGUAAAAGGAGCAAUCCGGUUCGGGGUGAGUUCGCGUCCGAUUAGCUAGUUGGUGAGGUAACGGCCCACCAAGGCGACGAUCGGUAGCCGGCCUGAGAGGGUGAACGGCCACAUUGGAACUGAGAGACGGUCCAAACUCCUACGGGAGGCAGCAGUGGGGAAUAUUGGGCAAUGGGCGAAAGCCUGACCCAGCAACGCCGCGUGAGGGAAGAAGGUUUUCGGAUUGUAAACCUCUGCCCUAUGGGACGAAGGAAGUGACGGUACCAUAGGAGGAAGCCCCGGCUAACUACGUG